AAUGAACGCUGGCGGCGUGCCUAACACAUGCAAGUCGAGCGAUUCUCUUCGGAGAAGAGCGGCGGACGGGUGAGUAACGCGUGGGUAACCUGCCCUGUACACACGGAUAACAUACCGAAAGGUAUGCUAAUACGAGAUAAUAUGCUUUUAUCGCAUGGUAGAAGUAUCAAAGCUCCGGCGGUACAGGAUGGACCCGCGUCUGAUUAGCUAGUUGGUAAGGUAACGGCUUACCAAGGCGACGAUCAGUAGCCGACCUGAGAGGGUGAUCGGCCAGAUUGGAGCUGAGACACGGUCCAAACUCCUACGGGAGGCAGCAGUGGGGAAUAUUGCACAAUGGGCGAAAGCCUGAUGCAGCAACGCCGCGUGAGCGAUGAAGGCCUUCGGGUCGUAACGCUCUGUCCUCAAGGAAGAUAAUGACGGUACUUGAGGGGGAAGCCCCGGCUAACUACGUGCCAGCCGCCGCCGUAA
rnacentral:rRNA from 1 species